rnacentral:tRNA from 1 species
UAGCCUAUAGUUUAGUUGGUUAAAGCGUCGUGUUAAUAACGGGAAGGUCACAGGUUUGAAACCUGCAUAGGCUAA